rnacentral:rRNA from 1 species
AGUUCGAUCCUGGCUCAGAUUGAACGCUGGCGGGAUGCUUUACACAUGCAAGUCGAACGGCAGCACGGAUUUCCGGUCUGGUGGCGAGUAUGUGAACGGGUGAGUAAUGUAUCGGAACGUGCCUAGUAGCGGGAUAAUUGAUGCGAAAAAGGUGCCAAUACCGCAUACGCCCUUCGGGGCGGGGACCUUCGGGCCCCGCACUAUUAGAGCGGCCGAUAUCGGAUUAGCUAGUUGGUGGGUAACGGCUCACCAAGGCGACGAUCCGUAGCUGGUUUGAGGACGACCAGCCACACUGGGACUGAGACACGGCCCAGACUCCUACGGGAGGCAGCAGUGGGGAAUUUUGGACAAUGGGGAAAACCUGAUCCAGCCAUCCCGCGUGUGCGAUGAAGGCCUUCGCUGUAAAGCACUUCUUGGCGGGAAAGAACGCACGGGAUAAUACCCCGUGCAACUGACGGUACCUGCAGAAUAAGCACCGGCUAACUACGUGCCAGCAGCCGCGGUAAUACGUAGGGUGGCAAGCGUUAAUCGGAAUUACUGGGCGUAAAGCGUGCAGGCGGUUCUGGAAAGAAAGAUGUGAAAUCCCAGAGCUUAAUCUUUGGAACUGCAUUUUUAAUUCACGAGCUAGAGUGUGUCAGAGGGAGGUGGAAUUCCGCGGCAGUAAGUGAAAUGCGUAGAUAUGCGGAGGAACACCGAUAAGCAAGGCGGCCUCCUGGGAUAACACUGACGCUCAUGCACGAAAGCGUGGGAGCAAACAGGAUUAGAUACCCUGGUAGUCCACGCCCUAAACGAUGUCAACUAGCUGUUGGGCCUUUCGGGCCUGGUAGCGCACAGUUAACGCGUGAAGUUGACCGCCUGGGGAGUACGGUCGCAAGAUUAAAACUCAAAGGAAUUGACGGGGACUCCGCCAUGGUGGAUGAUGUGGAUUAAUUCGAUGCAACGCGAAAAACUCCACGCAAUUUCGACAUGUCUGGAAUCCCGAAGAGAUUUGGGAGUGCUCGCAAGAGAACCGAACACAGGUGCUGCAUGGCUGUCGUCAGCUCGUGUCGUGAGAUGUUGGGUUAAGUCCCGCAACGAAGCGCAACCCUUGUCAUUAGUUGCUACGAAAGGGCACUCUAAUGAGACUGUCGGUGACAAACCGGAGGAAGGGGAUGACGUUGAGUCCAUGGCCUUGCGGUAGGGCUUCACACGGGCUAUGGCAAUAUGGGACAGAGGUCGCCAACCCGCGAGGGGAAAGCCAAUCCUGCGGAACCAUCAGAACUGGAUCGCAGUUCGCAACUCGACUGGUGAAGUCGGAAUCGCUAGUAAUCGGUGGAUCGGCAUGGUCGCGGGUGAAUACGUUCCCCGGGUCUUGUACACACCGCCCGUCACACCAUGGGAGUGGGUUUUACCAGAAGUAGUUAGCCUAACCGUAAGGAGGGCGAUUACCACGGCAGGAUCUGGCGACCGGGGUGAAGUCGUGUCAAGGUAG